rnacentral:lncRNA from 1 species
UGGAUGACAUUUCACCUGUGGCAUUUUAUCUCAUAAGCCACGUGAUGGUUCGUGUAUAUUUGUUACAUUGCUGUCUAUACUUUUUUGUAUUCCUGAAAAGGCCUGGUGAGUCUUGGACCUGAUGUAUCUGCAUGUCUGAUGUAUCAUGGUGAAAGAGGAUUCUGGAGAGCUGCUGGAGAGAAACCACUGAUGGCCAUGAGGGAACAGUGUUUUGAGUGACAGCAGACCACCCGUUAGUUACAG